rnacentral:tRNA from 1 species
CCGGCGUAGCUCAAGUGGUUAGAGCGAGGGAUUCAUAAGCCCUAGGUUGCAGGUUCGAGUCCUGCCGCGCGUG